GAUGAACGCUGGCGGCGUGCCUAAUACAUGCAAGUCGAGCGAACAGAUAAGGAGCUUGCUCCUUUGACGUUAGCGGCGGACGGGUGAGUAACACGUGGAUAACCUACCUAUAAGACUGGGAUAACUUCGGGAAACCGGAGCUAAUACCGGAUAACAUAUUGAACCGCAUGGUUCAAUAGUGAAAGGCGGCUUUGCUGUCACUUAUAGAUGGAUCCGCGCCGUAUUAGCUAGUUGGUAAGGUAACGGCUUACCAAGGCAACGAUACGUAGCCGACCUGAGAGGGUGAUCGGCCACUCUGGAACUGAGACACGGUCCAGACUCCGACGGGAGGCAGCAGUAGGGAAUCUUCCGCAAUGGGCGAAAGCCUGACGGAGCAACGCCGCGUGAGUGAUGAAGGUCUUCGGAUCGUAAAACUCUGUUAUCAGGGAAGAACAAAUGUGUAAGUAACUGUGCACAUCUGGACGGUACCGGAUCAGAAAGCCACAGCUAACUACGU
rnacentral:rRNA from 1 species